rnacentral:rRNA from 1 species
UGACCUCGAAUCAGGUAGGAAUUACCCGCUG